ACGUCUGCUAUAAAGCAGAUGUACUCUUGCAAAACCUCAAUGCAUAAAUGAUUAUCCUCCAGAUUCUCCACCUCAAGACACUCAUCCAGAUAAUAGAGCAGCACUUUUAAAUGCUAAAUGAUUGUGGCUUAACAGACAAAAGCUGUCCAGCUCUGGCUUCAGUUCUUGGAUCAGAUACCAAUCUGAAAGAGCUGAACAUGAACAAUAAUAAUCUGCAGGAUUCAGGAGUGAAGCUGCUCUGCACUGGACUUAAGGAUAUAAACUGCAAAUUAGAGAUACUGUGUCUGAAGAACAACUGUAUCACAGAAGGAGGUUGUCAUGCUCUGGCUUCAGCUCUAAAUUCAAACCCUUCAAAUCUGACAG